rnacentral:misc_RNA from 1 species
ACACAGACGUGCACACAUGCCGCAGAUGGCUUAAGCUAUAUUUGUACAAGCAUACCAAUGGAGCUGAUGAUGUAGCCCCACGGUGUAAGCAUGAAACCUAAAUCCUCAACAGCAGCCUGUGCUGCCAUACACAUGAAUCCCUAAACAUCACAUCCCAGGAAAACAGGGUGGGGCCCGAUACAGAGAACAUCUACACUGAGGAUUUCUUUGAGAAGUUGGAUGGUGGGGCUAAUGCCCUCGACAAUGUGGAUGCAAGAUUGUACAUGGACAGGAGAUGUGUGUAUUACAACAAGCCCCUGCUGGAAUCAGGGACCCUGGGCACCAAGGGCAACGUACAGGUGGUCAUUCCCAAACUGACCGAGUCUUACUCCUCCUCACAGGACCCUCCCGAGAAAUCCAUUCCUAUCUGUACCCUCAAGAACUUCCCCAACGCCAUCGAACACACACUACAGUGGGCCAGAGACCAGUUUGAGGGACUGUUCAUCCAGCCAGUAGAGGGCGCCCUUCAAUAUGCCACAGAUCCUAAAUUCCUGGAGAGGACUGCCAAACUCCCAGGCACACAGCCAGUAAGUCAAAACCAGGGGCAUUUGUGAUUUUCGUCCAUUGAACAUUAAAAUUAUCUUCAUGUGCACAAGCCAAUGUUGCAUGAAUAUGCAAAUAAUCUCAGUUUCUUCCAACAGAAAAUGGGGAUACAUUGAAGAAUUUGUGCCCUUUUUUCUUCCAUAAAGGGUAUCAAAUGCCCUAUUCAUAAUGAAAUUUCUCCAUGUUGUAAUAAAUAUCCAAUAUAGUAGUAUUUUUUUGUGUGAUUAACGUUUGGUUUGCCUUGUGUACAUAUAGGUGGAGACACUACAAGGAAUUAAGAAGGCCAUCGUUGACGAGAGACCAACCAGUUUCCAGGACUGCGUGACUUUUGCCAGGAAUCUGUUCCAGGAGAACUAUAAUAACAACAUUCGUCAGCUUCUGUUCAACUUCCCUCCUGAUCAGGUCACAAGUUCCGGAGCUCCAUUUUGGUCUGGUCCAAAAAGAUGUCCGCAUCCACUGGAGUUUGAUGUAAAUAAUACCACCCAUUUCGACUAUGUUAUGUCUGUAGCUAAUCUCAGGGCUCAAAUGUAUGGCAUCAAACAAGUUCGGGAUCCAAAGGCUAUCUAUGAUAUGGUGUCAAAGGUCAAAGUGCCCGAGUUUAAACCUAGGUCAGGGAUAAAGAUUGAAGUGACUGAUGCUGAAAUGGAAAGAAACCAAGGAAACCUAGAUGUUGAUGCUGUGGAAAAUCUACAAAAGGACUUACCCCCUGUGGAGAAAGUAAAGGCCAUGAAAUUAGUUCCUAUUGAGUUUGAGAAAGAUGAUGAUACUAAUUUCCACAUGGACUUUAUCGUGGCUGCUUCCAAUUUGAGAGCCGAGAACUAUGACAUUCCACCAGCAGAUCGACACAAGAGUAAGUUGAUUGCUGGAAAGAUCAUCCCAGCCAUUGCUACCACCACAGCACUCAUCACAGGCCUAGUGGCUGUAGAACUCAUCAAGCUUGUACAAGGACAUAAUAAAUUAGAAAGCUACAAGAAUGGAUUUGUAAAUCUGGCCUUGCCCUUCUUUGCUUUCUCAGAACCAAUAGCAGCACCCAAGAACAAGUAUUAUGACACUUACUUCACGUUAUGGGACCGAUUUGAAGUUCAAGGAGAGAUGACCCUACAGGAAUUUUUAGAUUAUUUCCAGAAAGAAUACAAGCUGGAGAUCACCAUGUUAUCACAGGGCGUGUCCAUGUUGUAUUCAUUCUUCAUGCCCCCCGCCAAACGACAGGAGCGACUGGGACUACCAUUAUCAGAAGUAGUUAAAAGAGUCUCCAAGAAGCAGAUUCCUAGUCACGUAAAAGCUUUAGUGCUGGAGCUGUGCUGUAACGAUACGGAGGGAGAGGAUGUAGAAGUUCCGUACGUUAAAUACAAUCUACCACAGUCGUAAUGUAAACACUGCCCUAGAGACCGCAAUAGGUACCCCCACGAGUGGUGACAAGACACUGGACAUUCUCAUAUUGAGAGACUUAUCAACAAACAAACAGUCGGACAAACGGAUGACUGAUGCACAGUCAGUGAAGUGCAAUGAACAUAAUUACAAAGAUUUUUCUUCUUUUUGACUGUUGUAUAUUUGUAUUUCUCAAUGAUGUUAAUAUUAACUUGUGGACUUGUGUAAAGGAAAACAAAACAAACAAUGAUUUGAUUGUCUUACUAUAGUAUUCUCUGUACACAGACAGGUUUGGUAGUGUGCAUAAUAAUUUAUUCUGUCUUUAUGAAACUUAAAAAAAAAUAAAUGAAUAGAAUCAU